rnacentral:rRNA from 1 species
AGAGUUUGAUCAUGGCUCAGAUUGAACGCUGGCGGCAGGCUUAACACAUGCAAGUCGAGCGGUAGCAGGCCUUCGGGUGCUGACGAGCGGCGGACGGGUGAGGAAUGCAUAGGAAUCUGCCUAUUAGUGGGGGAUAACACGGGGAAACUCGUGCUAAUACCGCAUACGUCCUACGGGAGAAAGCGGGGGAUCUUUGGUCCUCGCGCUAAUAGAUGAGCCUAUGCCGGAUUAGCUAGUUGGUAGGGUAAAGGCCUACCAAGGCGACGAUCCGUAGCUGGUCUGAGAGGAUGAUCAGCCACACUGGGACUGAGACACGGCCCAGACUCCUACGGGAGGCAGCAGUGGGGAAUAUUGGACAAUGGGCGCAAGCCUGAUCCAGCCAUGCCGCGUGUGUGAAGAAGGCCUUCGGGUUGUAAAGCACUUUAAGUGGGGAGGAAGGUUAGUGGUUUAAUACGCUACUAAAUUGACGUUACCCACAGAAUAAGCACCGGCUAACUCUGUGCCAGCAGCCGCGGUAAUACAGAGGGUGCAAGCGUUAAUCGGAAUUACUGGGCGUAAAGCGCGCGUAGGUGGUUUUGUAAGUUGAAUGUGAAAUCCCCGGGCUUAACCUGGGAAUGGCAUCCAAAACUGCACGACUAGAGUAUGGGAGAGGGAGGUAGAAUUCCAGGUGUAGCGGUGAAAUGCGUAGAGAUCUGGAGGAAUACCGGUGGCGAAGGCGGCCUCCUGGCCUAAUACUGACACUGAGGUGCGAAAGCGUGGGUAGCAAACAGGAUUAGAUACCCUGGUAGUCCACGCCGUAAACGAUGAGAACUAGCCGUUGGUCUCCUUGAGAGGUUAGUGGCGCAGCUAACGCGAUAAGUUCUCCGCCUGGGGAGUACGGCCGCAAGGUUAAAACUCAAAUGAAUUGACGGGGGCCCGCACAAGCGGUGGAGCAUGUGGUUUAAUUCGACGCAACGCGAAGAACCUUGCCUGGUCUUGACAUCCACGGAAUCCUGCAGAGAUGUGGGAGUGCCUUCGGGAACCGUGAGACAGGUGCUGCAUGGCUGUCGUCAGCUCGUGUUGUGAAAUGUUGGGUUAAGUCCCGUAACGAGCGCAACCCUUGUCCUUAGUUGCCAGCGAGUAAUGUCGGGAACUCUAAGGAGACUGCCGGUGACAAACCGGAGGAAGGUGGGGACGACGUCAAGUCAUCAUGGCCCUUACGACCAGGGCUACACACGUGCUACAAUGGCCGGUACAGAGGGUUGCCAAGCCGCGAGGUGGAGCCAAUCCCGAAAAGCCGGUCGUAGUCCGGAUUGCAGUCUGCAACUCGACUGCAUGAAGUCGGAAUCGCUAGUAAUCGCAGAUCAGAAUGCUGCGGUGAAUACGUUCCCGGGCCUUGUACACACCGCCCGUCACACCAUGG